CCAGCAGCCGCGGUAAUACGUAGGUCCUAAGCGUUAUCCGGAUUUACUGGGCGUAAAGCGUCUGUAGCUGGAAAAAUAAGUCUGUUUUCAAAUACUGUGGCUCAACCAUAGAAAGGGAAUGGAUACUGUCUUUCUAGAGGUUAUUAGAGGUUAGUGGAAUUUCCGGUGGAGCGGUGAAAUGUGUUGAUAUCGGAAGGAACGUCAAAAGCGAAAGCAGCUAACUAUAAUAAACCUGACGGUCAGAGACGAAAGCUUGGGUAGCAAACGGGAUUAGAUACCCCGGUAGUCCAAGCCGUAAAUUAUGCUUGCUAGAUGUUUUCUCCAUUUUGGAGGGAGUGUCGUAAUCUAACGAGUUAAGCAAGCCGCCUGGGUAGUAUAUACGCAAGUAUGAAACUCAAAGGGAUAGGCGGGGGAACACACAAGCAGUGGAUUGUCUAGAUUAAUUGGAUAAUUAGCCAAAAAUCUCACCUAAACUUGACAUGUACUGUGUCCUAUGUGAAAGCAUAGUAGUCCGAGCAAUCGGACACGGUAUACAGGUGGUGCAUGGUCGUCGUCAGCUCGUGCCGCAAGGUGUCUAGUUAAGUCUAGGAACGAGCGCAACCCUCAUCUCUAGUUAGAAUGUCUAGAGAGACUGCUCGGGCAACCGAGAGGAAGGAGAGGAUGACGUCAGAUCCUCAUGCCCCUUACGUUUAGGGCUUCAUAGGCAAUACAAUGGGUGAUACAACGAGAAGCAAUACCGCGAGGCGGAGCAAAUCUUUAAAAUUAUCCUUAGUUCGGAUUGUAGUCUGGAACUCGACUGCAUGAAGUUGGAAUUGCUAGUAAUGGCGGGUCAGCUAUACCGCCGUGAAUAUGUCCCUGUUCCUUG
rnacentral:rRNA from 1 species